AGCAAACACAACGUGCCAUUGGAACCCAGGAGUGAUGGGAGUGAUAAAGGGCCAUUGGAACCCAGGAGUGAUGGGAGUGAUAAAGGGCCAUUGGCACACGGGAGUGAUGGGAGUGAUAAAGGGCCAUUGGAACCCAGGAGUGAUGGGAGUGAUUAAAGGGCCAUUGGCACACGGGAGUGAUGGGAGUGAUAAAGGGCCAUUGGAACACAGGAGUGAUGGGAGUGAUAAAGGGCCACUGGAACACAGGAGUGAUGGGAGUGAUAAAGGGCCAUUGGAACCCAGGAGUGAUGGAAGUGAUAAAGGGCCAUUGGAGCACAGGAGUGAUGGGAGUGAUAAAGGGCCAUUGGAGCACAGGAGUGAUGGGAGGCCUCUGUACGUCUAUGAAGAGAAUCCAUUAAAAAUCAGCUGUUUCCAGCUACAAUAGUCAUUUACAACAUUAACCCCGUCUGUGCUGGAUUUCUGAUCCAUUUCUAAGUGACCCCAAACUUUUGAAUGGUGUAAACACAAGUGGACAAAA